rnacentral:lncRNA from 10 species
GAGUGAGAUUCAAUGAAGAUGAUAAGAAAUGAAAGGUGUUACCAAAAACACACUCAGCGAUUCAGCUCUACAGUAUGCACUCUGGGAUCUCCCAUUUGCUAAGGAAGGAUCUUAGCUUUGAGAAAGGUGUCAAGCCUGUGGCAGCAGAGCUUCCUGGGGAGUCCUCAGAGCAAGUCAUUGCCAUUGUCGAAGUGUCUUCUAGGCUUUAUUUUGGGGCCAUUACCUCGAGCACUGUUUCUUGUCUGGUUUCCUAAUGUCAGCAACUGAAGAAAAGACCUGUAUACACAGGACACAGCAUGGUCUGACGCUCACAGUGUUUUCCUUUCUCUCUGCAGAGGGAUUCAGCACUUUGGGCAAGUGGUUGCACAGAGGAUCCCGUGGAAGAAUUCAUAUAUGAAUCAGAUGAGAAUGCCCCAGGACCAUCGUAGGUCAGGCCACCUGCUUUUGUCAAAGAAAAAAGAUAACCCCUAUUUGAAUUAAAAUAUGAGAAUCUGACCAUAUGUAUCAUAGGUGACUUACACAGUGUCCUUGGUAAGGAGAAUUUAGAGUGAGAGUCUGUUCCCCACUGAGGUUUGAUUUAAGAUGGCAGAAGAAAAUGACAUCAUCAGCCACUCAGCAGCUUGAUUCUCUCCUUGGGGCAAAAUCACUUAAUUGCCAAGCAACAUGGACUUACAGGAAACAUCCUCCAAUAAAAACUUAGGUUUUUAGCAUGAUUCGGUAUGUCCUGUUCUUAUUUUGGGUGCUUUUGGGUGGUCUCAUCGUGACAGUCAAUGUCCUGGGUCUUCAGUGUCUAUAAAGUCCCCCUGCAGCCCUCCUGCCCGCUGUCUUGGCAUUGCCUCCAUUCCUGGUCCCCAGGCUGCAGCGUUGAAUCCUGUUGAGCAACCCCACAGGGUUUAGGAAGGGAGCCCGGCUGAGGUCAGAAGAGUUGGCGCCACCCUGCAGGAAGGGUUCCCAGUGACGUCUGGGUCUGCUGUGGCCGCCCCCCUCCGCCCCGGGGCUUUUGCUGCACUGGGGUCUCUGGACAUGCGCACUUGUUGUCUUCCUCCCAGAUACCAACAAGCCCUCUCCCGGCACCUGCAGAAAAAGUGGGGAAAAUCCCCGAAGAGGCAGAAACAAAACCUAGUGAGCUGAAGGAUGAGGCUGCUGAAGAGCCUGAGCUCACUUGUUGUGGCCUUUGUACUUAUGCUGGAAAUCCCUAAAGAUUCAUCCGGAAGGGCCGCCAGCCAGUGGAUUUCCCGGGCCCCUCAGCCCUCUGGAGUGUACGAGUUUUGGAGAAACCUCUUCCUCUGUAUAUGC